AAAUAGGGUAGCUUCCAGGAAAAUGACAUUAACUCAUAUUUUUUACCUCAACUAAACUCCCGUGUUUUCUAAACAUUCAAGGAAUAGAGAGCAUUUUUGCCCUUCCAUUUAACUUCAGUAAAUAUUAUACCCAGCCAUCCAUUUUUUUAACGUUCAUGUAACUAAAAUAAAUAUGAUGCCUGACAGAGUAAUUUAUUUAGGCUUACACAAAGAUACCACUGUAGUAUUUGGAAACUAGACAAAAUUAGAGUAGGUAAUUUCUAAUUACAGUAGUAAACUCACUCACAUAUACACACACACAAUGAAGGCACACGCAGCCUGUAGCAAAGCACUAACAGAAUUGUUUAAAAUGAGAUACCUUCCAACCUGCUUUGCUCAGCCAUAUUUAUAAAAUCAUGGACAAAUAUAAGCUGGACAAAAAAGACAAACAAGGAAAAGAUACUCAAAUUAUUUCUAAUUGAAUUAUUUUAAGGUAAAAAGUCAGAUUUUAUUUAAUCACAGCGUAAGAGCUGCCCUCCAUCCCCAUUUGGAAGAUAAGACGCAACUUAUGUCCUCAAAAGCACAAUAUUGAGUCACGUUUUCUCAUUGCUUUGCUGUGUUAAUAAUUCUCUCUGUACCUCAGUUUCUUUGCAGUAACAAGGGUCUUAUAAUAAUGACAACUUCAACGCCUGAAUAUUCCAUUUUAACACAUACGUAUUAGGUGAUGUUUGACCCACAGCAGAUGAAACUUGUCUCUAAGUAACAUGCCCCAGUAUGUUUUUUUGUUUCAAGUAAACACAUAGGGAUCAAUAUUCUCAAAAUUACAGUUUUUGACACAUUCUCAUGAUGGGAGUUUUUAAUUAUUUUAUAGGCUCACAAGGAUCUAAGGAGCCUUAGUGACACUUAGAAUAACUCCGCAACCUAGAGGUUUCUAAACUUUCUCAUUUUGCAGCAAUUUUAGUGUCUUAGUAAUAUUUACAUGGUACCCCUAGGCCAAAAGAUAUAUGUGGGUUCUGUUUGUUAAUUAGUUAGGUGUAAACAACUUAAUUUUUAUAUCCUUAAUAGUUAUAUCCUAACAACUUAGUAGCAACAUGAUUCAUUAAUAUAUAUUAACUGAAGGUAAAACAUUAUUUCUAUUUCAUUCUUAAAUUUUCACAGUGACUUACUAAGGGAAUCCAUGUUCCUGUUGGACCCAAAACAAUUUCUUAAACUUUGGAAUAAUGUUAGACAUCCCCACCCUCACUUCCCUUUCCUCACUGCCUUUUGUGUUGUACUUGCAUCACACCACAGAAACCAAUGAAAAUCAAGCUUUACAAAAAUAUGACAUAAUGAAAAGCAAUGUCACAUAAUCUAACGUUGAAACUGUGACUUGCCCCAAGCAAGUGGCCUACAAGGCUGUCUAGCCUUUGAAACACUUAGAAAUCUGGUGCUGCCCCUGUGAGUUCACUGGUAUGCUUGAGACUGACUUUUAACUUUUAUUGUAAAAAAUCAAGGUUUUUUUUAUUGUUACCAACAGAUGUUUUUGUGUUACUACAAAUGGAGCAUCAUUGUGAAAAGGCAGGACAAGUUAUUUCAUCAAAGGAAAACAACUUUCUAAAAUUUAUCCUUCUUCCUACAAAACACAGUACAGUAACAUAAAUUUGGAUGCAACACUAUAGACAACUGGCUGCUUAUCUUUCUUGCUGGCUCUGUUCUUAAAAUGGCUGGAGGAAGCAAGUGAUAAAGGAGAUGGAAACCGAAGUUCUUACCUUCUUGGAGGGAGUGGGGACAGGGCAUGAAAGAAAAAAACAAAGCUACAUGGAAAAUGCAGGUAAUUCCACCCCCAAAAACGAGGAGGGAGAAGAUGGGUUCUCUUGUCUCCAAUGUUCUCCCAUAUCCAUCUCCCCAGUUCUGGCCAAUAAAUAUCACCUAAACAGGGAGGUGAUUUCUUAAGCGUCUGAUGCUUCUUAAGAAAUCAGAAGCUUAAGAAAGAUGAUUCUGGAUUCAGAAUCAUCUCCGUUAAAACUGCAGCCUGGGUGAGGAAACACUACUUGGUGGUGCCAACCAAACAAAAACUUGAAUUUACCUAAAUUUUGCAAUCUGUUCUCAAAAUCUGUUUACCCUGCUGCAUAGAUUCAGCCUGACCAUUCAAUUAACCCACAUGCUACAAAAUUGAGCAUUUUAGAUUAACUCAUUGAGUUAUGGUGGUAAGAGGGUUAGAUUCUUUACUAAAUAUCUACUGUAUGGCAAUUCCAUACUGGCACAUGCUAAGUACUACUGGUGUGACACAGAUAAUUCAUUCUUCUAUAAUUCAAAGGAGGGAAUAUUUUUGUGGUUUCUCACAAGUAGGUAAGAACUUGAGUUUAUUGGCCAGGCAUAAUGGAUCACGUCUGAAAUCCCAGCAAUUUGGGAGGCCCAGGAAUGUGGUUCACUUGAGCUCAGGUAUAUGAAACGAGCUUGGAAAACAUGGAGAGACCCUGUCCCUCCAAAAUAGAAAAAAAUUAUCCACGUCUAGUGGCAUAUGCCUAUAGUCCCAGUACUCAACAGGCUGAGGUGAGAGGAUCCGCUUGAGUCCAGGAGACAGAGGCUGCAGUGAGCCGUGAUCACACCACUGCAUUGAAGACUGGGUGAGAGAGUGAGACUAUGUUUCAGAAAACAAAAAAAAAAGUGAAGGAAAGAAAGAAAAGAGAAGAAAACGAAAUGAAAAAGAAAAAGAACCUGAGUUUAUUUAUCCAGAGUCCUAGAGGUCCCCACCUGCUGUAUAGGGGCUUCCUUUACAAAUGUGAUAUUCCUCCUCAUUUUCACACUUAUUAUAUUUUAUAAUAGUAAUAACAAGAAGGUAAAGGUAUGUUUAAAAUGAUAAAGUUUGAGUGGGAGAGGAAGAAAAAGGAUUGACCUUCUACAGUGAUGUAACUGUAAAUAUGUAAAAGGGAGACAACUAAGAGGUGACCUUGGAAAAACCAAAUACUUUGCAUUAUACUUAGCUUUUCAAUAACUGGAAGUAAGUUACUGGCCAACAGAGUGACAUAUUUAAAACAAUCUAGGCCGCACGCGGUGGCUCAUGCUUGUAAUCCCAGCACUUUGGGAGGCCGAGGCAGGUGGAUCACGAGGUCAGGAGAUUGAGACCAUGGUGAAACCCCGUUUCUACUAAAAAAAAAUACAAAAAUUAGCCGGGCGUGGUGGCGGGUGCCUGUAGUCCCAGCUACUCGGAGAGGCUGAGGCAGGAUAAUGGCGUGAACCCGGAAGGCGGAGCUUGCAGUGGGCCAAGAUCGCGCUACUGCACUCCAGCCGGGGUGACAGAGCAAGACUCCAUCUCAAAAAAAAAAAAACAAUCUAUAUGUCAGAGGAAUCUGUUCACAGUGGUUAAUGUAUCCUCUGCUUUUAGGAAUACUUAGGCAAGGGUAAAAAGUGACAAAUGAUUUUCAUCAUUGGAGUAAGAGUUAUGGCUAAACAUAAUCUCUCAAAAUAAUCAUGUGAUAAGCCCAAUUUCAAAAAGAGGGAUGCAUGACUACAGGGGCCAAUCCAAGACCUUCAACAAAAGCACGUCUCAAGCAGAAAGCAAUCUGUAUUAUUUAUCCUGUGAUCCACAGUCUCUCUCCAUCAGGUGAUCCAAUUUAACCUUAACUUAAAGUUUAUUAUCUGUGGUGAUAUGGUUUGGCUGUGUCCCCAGCAAAACGGCAACUUCAGUUGUAUCUCCCAGAAUUCCCACGUGUUGUGGAGGGACCUGCGGGGGUGGGGGCACAAUUGAAUCACAGGGGCCAGUCUUUCUCAUGCUCUUCUCAUGAUAGUGAAUAAGUCUCAUGAGAUCUGAUGGGUUUAUCAAGAGUUUCUGCUUUUGCUUCUUCCUCAUUUUCUCUUGCUGCUACCAUGUAAGAAGAGCCUUUCGCCUCUAGCCAUGAUCUGAGAACUCCCCCCAGCCAUGUGGAACUGUAAGUCCAAUUAAACUUCUUUCUUUUGUAAAUUGCCCAGCCUUGGGUGUGUUGGUACUGGGAGUGGAGCAUUGCUGAAAAGAUACCCAUAAAUGUGGACAUUACUUUGGAACUGGGUAACAGGCAGAGGUUGGAACAGAUUGGAGGGCUCAGAAAAAGACAGGAAAAUGUGGGAAAGUUUGGAACUUUCUAUAGACUUGUUGAAUGGCUUUGGCUAAAAGGCUGAUAGCAAUAUGAACAAUAAGGUCCAGGCUGAGGUGGUCUCAGAUGGAGAUGAGGAACUUGUUGAGAACUGGAGCAUAGGUGACUCUUGUUUUGUUUUAGCAAAGAGGCUGGCAGCAUUUUGCCCCUGCCCUACAUAUUUGUGGAACUCUGAACUUGAGAGAGAUGAUUUAGGGUAUCUGGCGGAAGAAAUUUCUAAACAGCAAAGCAUUCAAGAGGUGACCUGAGUGCUGUUAAAGGCAUUCAGUUUUAUAAGGGAAGCAGAGCAUAAAAGCUUGAAAAAUUUGCAGCCUGACAAUGUGAUAGAAAAAGAAAAACCCAUUUUCUGAGGAGAAAUUCAAGCCACUAGCAGAAAUUUGCAUAAAUGAGGAGCUGAAUGUUAAUCUGUAAGACAAUGGGGAAAAUGUCUCCAGGGCAUGUCAGAGGUCUUCAUGGCAGACCCUUCCAUCACAGUCCCAGAGGCAUAGAAGAAAAUGGUUUCAUGGGUUGGGUCCAGGGUCUCUGUGCUGUGUGCAGCCUAGGGACUUGAUGUCCUGUGUCCUAGCUGCUCCAGCCAUGGCUGAAAGGAGCCAAGGUACAGCUCAGGCCCAUGGCUUCAGAGGGUGCAAGUCCCAAACCUUGGCAGUUUCCACAUGGUGUUGAGCCUGCGCAUGCAUGGAAGUCAAGAAUUGGGGCUUGGGAACCUCUACUUAGAUUUCAGAAGAUGUGUGGAAAUGCCUGGAUGCCCAGGCAGAAGUUUGCUGCAGGGGUGGGACAUUCAUGGAGAACCUAUGUUAGGGCAGUAUGGAAGGGAAAUGUGAGAUUGGAGCCCCCACACAGAGUCCCUACUGAGGGACUGCCUAGUGGAGCUGUGAGAAGAGGGCAAACAUCCUCUAGACUCCAGAAUGGUAGAUGCAACAGCUUGCAUUGUUCACCUGGAAGAGUCACAGACAAUCAAUGCCAGCCCAUGAAGGCAGCCAGGAGGGAGGCUGUACCCUGCAAAGCUACAGGGACAGAGCUGCCCAAGACUAUGGGAACCUAGGUCUUGCGUCAGUGUGACCUGGAUGUGAGACUUAGAGUGAAAGGAGAUCAUGUUGGAGUUUUAAGAUUUGACUGCCCUGCUGGAUUUCAGACUCACGUGGGGCCUCUAGCCCCUUUGGUUUUGACCAAUUUCUCCCAUUUGGAAUGGCUGUAUUUACUAAAUACCUGUACCCCCAUUGUACCUAGGAAGUCACUAGCUUGCUUUUGAUUUCACAGGCUCAUAGGCAGAAGGGACUGGCCUUGUCUCAGAUGAGACUUUGGACUGUGGACUUUAAUGCUGAAAUGAGUUAAGGCUUUGGGGGACUAUUGGGAAGGCAUGAUUUGUUUUGAAAUGUGAGGACAUGAGAUUUGGAGGGGCCAGGGGUGGAAUAAUAUGGUUUGGCUGUGUACCCAUCCAAAUCUCAACUCGAAUUGUAUCUCCCAGAAUUCCCAUGUGUUGUGAGAGGGACCCAGGGGGAGGUAAUUGAAUCAUGGGGGCAGGUCUUUCCCAUGCUAGUCUCAUGGUAGUGAAUAAAUCUCAUGAGAUCUGAUGGGUUUAUCAGGAGUUUCCACUUUUGCUUCGUCCUCAUUUUCUCUUGCUGCCACCACGUAACAAGAGCCUUUUGCCUCCAGCCACGAUUCUGAGAACUCUCCAGCCAUGUGGAAUUUUAAGUCCAGUUACACCUCUUUCUUUUGUAAAUUGCCCAGUCUUGGGUAUUUAUUUGCCAGCAAGUGAAAACAAACGAAUACAUCUGAAUAUUAUGUAUUUUCAGUCUUGGUGCUCUAAUUGCGUUUGGCAUUAAGAUUGUCCUUACCAUGCAAGUGACCUAAUACAAUAAUUGUAGUUCACAACUAUAGUCUUUCCGUAAAAUUCCACUUCUAUUUCAUAACUUUGUUCUGGUAAUGACUCUAUGACAAAUUUAUUGCUUCCUGGUUCCAAGGCUUCAGGUCCUGUCUCACUACUAAUCUUCAUGAGUCUUCCUACUUUAUGAACAAUGGCAUUCUUGGAGAUUGUAAUAGCUGCCAUCCAUGUCUGCAAGAAGAAGACAUUCUUCUAGGGGGAAAAAUUCUAUGCUGCAUUCCUAUAGAGCAGUCUUAAAACAAAAAUUACACUUUUCCACCUUCAGAAACUCACAUGGCACAAGCCUACCCAAACCCCAGAGGACAUGCAUAAGGUAUUGCUUGAACUGGUGUUCUGCUUAUGUUGGGGAAUCACUGCAGGCUUUGUCUCCAGUUCUCUGCCUCCCAGCAUAACCAUCUGCCCCAUCUCCUCCUUAUUUCCAUCCCAUUUUCUCAUACAUGGAUUUUCCCUCAUGGUUUAGAAGCUGAUAAUGCAUUUAGUCUGCCUACCCAACAUUUUGCUUUGACUUUUUCCCCUUCAAUUCUCUGUUAUUUAAGCCAUAGCUUCUCUCUCCAACCUUCACCACCAUUCAUCUACUAGUAAAUAAAAUGUCUCAGGAGUAGAUUAACUAGUUUUAUCAAUAUACUAAUGUACCACUAAUGUUGGCAUUCAGGCAACAGACAGUACUUGAAACAAUUCUAUUCACAUCAGCACCCUGCUUCUCAAGAUCACCGCCAGUGUGCCCGAGUGUUGUUCCACACACAUGCACCCACACGUUCCCAUUUUAAUAAAACUGUUAUAAUUCACUGCAAUGCGCACAUGCAGGCUAAUCUUUAUCCUCCCUGAAAUUUUUUGUCUCCUUACUUGUUUUCAAAUUUAAUGUAACUAAGCCUUGUAGAUCAUAUUCUAUCAUUUCUACCUAACAAUAUCAGCUUGCACAAAUAAUGGGCAAAAUCAUUUUGUGAGGUGAUCACAUUAAGAAGACCUAUAUUUUGGAGUUAGGGACACUGGACAUUGACAAUAGAGGUCGGGAACAUGGGCUUUGCUGUCAGGCAGGCCAGAGCUUAUACUUUAUUGCUUUCUAGUCACAGGAAUUUGUAUAAGUUUCAUACCUCAAAAUCCAGUUAUUCAUCCUUAAAAUGGAAAUAAUAAUAUUUCUCCAAAAGAUCACUAUUAGAACUAAGCGAGACAUAUUUAUGUAAUGCCACCUUGCUGGGAACACGUUAUGGGAUUAAUGAAUAGGAGCUCUUAUUUUGUUGAUAUCACUCUUAUUUGUAACUGACAAGAAGCUACAUAUCUAAUAAAAAAUAAAACCAUUGUUCCAAGUCAAUGAAAAUGAACAAUUUUACCUGUAAUAUAAUCCCAGGGUAGAACUAGAUUCUAUUGCCAAAUUCUAUUAUAACUGCAUAACCUAUUUUUCUAAAUUACUGCAGAAAGCUUCACAAUUGAAAUAAAAAUUCAAAUAAAUAUUAAGCUGUAGAGUGAUGGCUUGGGGAUAGCAAUCAGAGAAUUUUCUAAAUAUAAACCAUGAAUGUUCACGAUAUUAUUUUUUCUAUCUUAACAGAGCCAUGUAGAAGUAUAUUUUUUCAUUACAAAUAAUUCAAGAAAAGAAAACCACUGAAGAUAGAUGCAACAUUGUAUUACAUUUUACGACAGAUUCAGCUUCUUGAGAGCAGUGUCUGUUUCUUACUUUGUUGCAAAUGCACAUUCACCAAUCAGGCACUUGUUAAGAAAUAUUGUAUCUCGGCAGAGAUGCUGAAAAAAGAAAGAGAGAAGAAUGAGGUUUUUGCAGAAAGAUUGGAAGAUGAAGAGGAGAUAAGUAGAGAAAGAAAGCACCAGGAUGGAAAAAUAUGUGUCUUGCCUUCGCCAAAUGAACUUGUGAUUCAAAGCAUUGUAUGAGCAUUAGUCACGUAUGUUUGCAUAGAAAGUAACUAUUGCUGUUGUGGUGGCUUUAAAAUUCUUUGAUACUCCUCUCUUCCAAAGGUAUAACCUAAUUCUCCCUCUUCUUACUUAUGGGCUGGACUCAGUGACUCAUUUCUAGGGUACAAAAUAUGGUAGAAGUGAUGUUGCCUGACUUUCAAGACUAGGUCAUAAAAGGCAUUGUGAUAGCUGAGCAAGAUAGUGGACUUCCUUUUUACUUCUUUGAUCCUUUUCUAGGUUAAGCUAGCUGUAUUGCGGGGUUAUUAAAGCAGCCUUAUAGAGAGGCUCUUGGGGCAAGGAAUUAGUAAGGCCUCUUGCCAACAACCAACAGUAACUUUCUUGGCAUGUGAACGAGCCACCUUGCAAGUGGAUCCUUCAGCCCCAGUCAAGCUUUCAGUUAACUUCAGCCCUGUCCAAUAACUUAACUGUAACUUCACAAGAAAUCCUGAACUAGAACAACUCAGCUAAGUCACUUUUGAAUUCCUGACUCAUGGAAAAUGUGACAUAAAUUUUUGUUGCUUUAAGCCACUAAACUUUGGGGAGAUUUAUUACAUAAAAGUAGAUAAUAAUGCAAUGUAAUAAUGUAGAUAAUGAGUAAUAGUAGCGUUGAAGUGAAAAAGUGUCAUAUGAACUUAUAAAACACAACUACUUUUGGAAUGAACCACAUGAAAUUGCUGAUUUUGUAGAUCACAUAUCAGCCAUAUGGCUCAAUCUUCCUUUUAAACUUUUAUUUUAGGUUUGGGGGUGCAUAUGAAAAUUUUGUUACAUAAACACAUGUCCCAGGGGUUUGUUGUACACACUAUUUCCUCAUCCAGCUAUUAAGCCCAGUAUCCAAUAGUUAUCUUUUCUGUUCCUCUCCCUCCUCUUUCUUCCCCCCUCGACUAGACCCCAGGGUCUGUUGUUUCCUUCUUUGUCUUCAUAAGUUCCUACCAUUUGGCUCCCACUUAUAAGUGAGAACAUGUAAUAUUUGGUUUUCUGUUCUUGAGUUAGUUUGCUAAGGAUAAUAGCCUCCAGUUCCAUCUAUGUUCCUGCAAAAGAGAUGAUCUAAUUCUUUUUUUAUGGUUGCAUAGCAUUCCAUGGUAUAUAUGUACCACAUUUUCUUUAUCCAAUCUGUCUUUAAUAGGCACUUAGUUUGAUUCCAUGUCUUUGCUAUUGUGAAUAGUGCUGUACUGAACAUUCACGUGCAUGUCUUUAUGGUAGAAUAAUUUCUAUUCCCCUGGGUAUAUAUGUAAUAAUAUGACUGCUGGGUUGAAUGAUAGUUGUACUUUUAGCUCGCUGAGGAAUCACUAUACUGCUUUCCACAAAGGUUGAAGUAAUUUACACUCCCAGCACCAGUGUAUAGGUGUUCCCAUUUUUCUGCAACCUCACAAGCAUCUGCUACUUUUUGACUUUUUAAUAAUAGCUAUUCUGAAUGGUAUAAGAUGGUAACUCAUUGUGGUUUUGAUUUGCAUUUCUCUAAUGAUCAGUGAUGUUGAGAUUUUUUUAACAUGCUUGUUGGAUGGCUGCAUGUGUGUCUUCUUUUGAGAAGUGUCUGUUCAUGUCUGAACACUUUUAAAUGAGGCUAUUUGUUUUUCUCUUGCAAAUUUUUAAGUUCCUUAUAGAUGCUGGAUGUUAGACCUUUGUCAGAUGCAUAGUUUUCAAAAAUUUCCUCUCAUUCUGUAGGUUGUUUUUCCUGUUGAUAGAUUCUUUUGCUGUGCAGAUGCUCUUAACAAUUAAUUAGAUCCCACUUUUCAACUUUUGCUUUUGCUGCAAUAGUUUUUGGUGACUUUGCCAUAAAAUCUUUGCCCAUUCCUAUGUCCAGGGUGGUAUUGCCUAGGUUGUCUUGUAGGGUUUUUAGUUGUGGGUUUUACAUUAAAGUAUUCAAUUCAUCUUGAGCUGAUUUUUGUGUAUGGUGUAUGGAACGAGUCCAGCUUCAGUCUUCUGCUUAUGGCUAGCCAGUUUUCCCAGCACCAUUUAUCGAAUAAGAAGUCUUUUCACCAUUACUUGUUUUUGUCAGCUUUGUUGACAAUCAGAUGUUCAUAGAUAUGUAGCCUUAUUUCUGGGCUUUCUAUCCUUUUCCAUUGGCCUAUGUGCCUGUUUUUGUACUAGUACCAUGCUGUUUUGGUUACUGUAGCCUUGUAGUAUAGUUUGAAGUCUGGUAAUAUGAUGCCUCCAGCUUUGUUCUUUGUGCUUAGCAUUGCCUUGGCUAUUUGGGCUCUUCUUUGGUUCCAUUUGAAUUUUAAAAUAGUUUUUUUUUUUUUUUUUAAUUCUGUGAAGAACAUCACUGGUAGUUUGAUACGAAUAGCAUUGAAUUUGUAAAUUGCUUUGGGCAGUAUAGCCAUUUUAAUUGUAUUGAUUCUUCCUAUUCAUGAGUGUGGGAUUCUUCUUCCAUUUGUUUGUGUCUUGUGUUAUUUCUUUGAGCAAUGUUUUGUAAUUCCCAUUGUAGAGAUCUUUCACCUCCCUGGCUAGCUGUAUUUCUAGGUUUUCUAGGUAUUUUAAUCUUUUUAUGGAAAUUGUAAGUAGAAUUGCCUUUCUGAUUUGGCUCUUGGUUUGGCUGUUGUUGGUGUCUAGGAAUGCUAAGUGAGUUUUGUACACUGACUUUGUAUCCUGUAACUUUGCUGAACUUGUUUAUCAGUGGGAGGAGCUUUUGGGCUGAUGCUAUGAGGUUUUCUAGAUAUAGUAUCAUGUUUUCUGCAAACAGAAAUAGUUUGACUUCCUCUCUUCCUAUUUGGAAGCCCUUUAUUCCUUUCUCUUGCCUGUUUACUCUGGUUAGGACAUCCAAUACUGUGCUGAACAAAAGUGGUGAGAGAGAGCAUACUUGUCCUGAGCUGGUAUUCAAGGGCAAUACUGGUAGCUUUUACCUAUUCAGUAUAAUGUUGACCGUGAGUUUGUCAUAGAUGGCUCUUAUUAUUUUGAGGUAUGUUUCUACUAUACCUAGUUUAUUUAGAGUUGUUAACAUGAAGGGGUGUUGAAUUUUAUCGAAAGCCUUUUUUUUUGCAUCUUUUGAGAUAAUCAUGUGGUUUUUUGUCUUUGGUUCCGUUUUUGUGAUGAAUCACGUUUAUCGAUUUGUGUCUGUUGAACCAACUUGCCUUCCAGGGAUGAAGCCUACUUGAUCAUAGUGGAUUAGCUUUCUGAUGUGCUGCUGAAUUUGGUUUGCAAGUAUUUUGCUGAGGAUUUCUGCAUUGAUGUUUAUCAAGGAUAUUGGGCUGAAGUUUUCCUUUUUUGUUGUGUCUUUGCCAGGUUUGGGUAUCAAGACAUUGUUGGACUCAUAGAAUGAGUUGGGGAGGAGUCCCUCCUCCUCAAUUUUUUAGAAUAGUUUCUGUAGGAAUGGUCAUGGUUUAACCUUACAUAUCAAAGCUCAACCAACUUGUUUCUUACAACUACAAUUUUUUAAAAUUGUAGCUAUAAUAAACUGAUUUGGACUGGGCUUUGGUCUCCUAGGAUGCAUUUCUGGAAUAUGUUUAUUAUUUUCCAAAUUUGCCAUUCUCCAAAUUAUGUAGGAAUACAGUUAUGAUUUUCUGACACAAUGCACUGAUGCAACAGUUGGAAACUAAUUAUUUGUGGAUUAUGGCUUGGUUUAGACAUAUAAAAGAUAAUUAUUAGCAAAUGUUUAUCAUUCUCUCAAAAGGUAUGUCAGUUUUGGACUUGGAACAAAUAUUCGAAUAAAUGAUGAAACAGGCUUUAAAUGUCUUACACAAUACUAAAUACCAAAAGCUAUUUCAUUCUUAUCCUUGGAAACACUGGAUGCAUGUUCUUAUGACAUCAUGUUUUCUUUGCACAAUAAAAAAAAAGGACAGCCAAACCAUCCAGUCUGUAAGUAUGUAAUUAUCUUUGAAUAUUCUCCUCAUUUAAGCACAUUAAAAUGCUUCAACUGGCCCAGGUUACACAAAAUUAUAUUCUUGAUAACUUACUAUCUUUUUUGGCACAACCUGUGCCACUUUCACAUGUCUGUUGAUGGUAAAUGUCAAGCUGUUGAGUGAGAAUUUAUUUCUGUUUCUAAUCUCCCUGGAGCUUUCACAUGUGUGCCUGAUUUAACACAAAGCUUUAUGUGUAACAUUUCCAGCACCCAAACACAACAAUUUCCACCUAUCUGUUUUAUUUUAGCUUUAAAGACAAAUAUUAAAUGGGAAAUAAUUUUUAAAAGGUACAUUUUACCCUGACUCCAAAUGCAAGAUUCUGCUAUUGUUUCACAGGGACUUUGUCAAAUUAUCUUUUAAAAAAAAUUCUGUGAGGCUAUGUCAGAUCUCAGCAAUGGUUAUAGGAUGCUUAUUUUCUUUGAAAAGAAGAAAAUUCCUGAUUUGCCAGUGCGAUUGCACUGUCAUCUUAGGGGUUUAUCGGGACCGGCAUAAAUGUAAUACUUUCUUCUUCUCAUGAUUACAUCUAGCAAAGCCCUGGUCAACAUCAGUAGUUAUUUUGGAGCAGAAAGGAACUCUUCACAAAUCCAAAGUUAGAAAUCACACUCCAUUUUCUAUCUUACCAGGGUAUGAACUUACCUAACUUCCUAGCAAGAGCUCAUAAUAUUGCCUGGGCCUUUAUCAGUGUGAUAAGGUUAGAAAAGAUCAUUGUUUCUAUUUCUGCUCAUUUCUAUUGCUUAAAAUUACUUUUAAGAGUUAAUAUGUAUUUCUAUUAUAUAAAUAUAUAAUUAUCAGUAAUUAUAUUUGUACUUAAUAUAUAAUGUAUAUGCUAUAAAUUAUAACUUUCUCUAAAUAAUAAAUCUGUCUGGCACAGUGAUACUAGAAGUAAUAUAUAAAGUUAUCAAUUGACUCUUAAUUUAGUUACAGAAAUCUUGAGUCUUUCCCUCACUUUCUUUUUAGAGCACUCAGCCUAUUUCUACAACAUCUACAGAAAAAUUUUAUGUGCUGAAACACUCAUUGCUAACUCAGAUGGGAAAAUUCUGAACUUCUUUAACUAUUGAAAACUGUAUAGCUUGGAUUUCCUUGAAAACAGAAUGCUACAUGAAAGGACAACAAAUCUUCUGGCAAUAACUCACAUUUAACAGGUUGAUACAGCAGAGCUAUCUUUCUAAACAACAAAUGUGUGAUCUAAUGGCAAUACCAACAGUGCACUGUACCAAGAAUUAGAAUGGUAUAUCAAAGCUUCUAAUUUGCAAUGGUUUGUUAUGGAGGUAUAAUUAUCUAUUUAAAAUGUAAAAUUCCUUGUACAAAAACAUUUGAAUAAUUAUGAAAAUGUAAGUAAUCCUUUGCAAAAACUAAUUAUGGUGAGGGAGACUUUCCUUUGCUGUCAGUGUUUUAUACAUGUGUUUGCUUCCAUAAGCAAACUAAUUAAAAUGUUGCAAGACACGCUGAAAUGCUGGCAUUUUAGAUGGAAAGCAGUUGUACUUCUGGCAAAGAUUGUUUCAUGUUUCUAAGGAAUUUUAAAAUUGUAGUUAUAAUAAACGAUUCAGUCAAGCAAACCUAAAACAAGAGCCAAAAUCAUGCUCUCAGCUUUCAGAUCUAUAGCCACAUGCCACCACAAAGCCGUGAAUUUUCUAAGUAUAAACUGGAAAUAAAUCACAUUUGUUUUGUUAGCAAACAUUUGGGGUAUGUAUGUGUGUGUUUGAUAAAACUGUGGUAAUUAUGCAGCUAAAAUAAGAAAGAACAAUUUGGAAGUCAUCUUAAUAUUUUGUGUUAUUCCCAUUAUUUGGAAAUCACUGGUCAAAUGGUGGGCAAAAUGUUUCCACCACAAAUAAGAAUGCUGUAGCACGACAGCUAAUAAGACAAAGAACUGUAUUAUGGCACCUCUUCAACAGCAAAUACUUGUCCUAAGAGCCUCGGAGGUAAAGGGCAGCUGCAGAAUGAUUAUCAGGAUUGCUUCAAGCUCCAGAUUGCAUUUGGAACAUGACAUGUCCAUCCUCUUCACUGUUGGGUCAAUCAGUCAUGCUUUGGGCAAGAUUUAUUGAGGUCGUCACUUUUACCAGUCACAGUGGUAAGAAGUAGAAUUUCAGUGAUAUAUGAGUGAGUUAUAGUGCAUACCUGCAUGGAUUUUACACUCCAAUCUUUUUAAAAGACAGUAUUUUGAUGAAUUAUGCACUCCAGGGCCAGACCACCUGGGCUUAAAUCUUGGCUUAUCUACUAACUAUCUGUCUGAAUUUAGGCUAGCUAACUAAUCUCUUUAGCAUGCUCAUCUGUGGAAUGAGAAUAACAGUCCUGCCUUAUGUAGUUGCUGUGAGAAUUAAAUGAGUUAACCUAUGUGUAAAUACAUAAUGCCCAGAAAUCAGUACAUUAUAUUGUUAUUAGCUACCAUUUUUACCUCCACUCUAACCAAGCAAUACCAUAAAUAUUGCCAAACAGACAACGCAAUAUCUAAUUCCACAGAAGAUAGAUGUCCAGUAGAAAUCAAAGAUCAGAAAAGCCCCUAGAAGGUAACUAGUAGCUGCGGGUAUCUGAAAGCCUUCACUAUUUGUUCUGCAGGCAAAACAUACAAACACAUUCUGGCUAUUAUCUAUGUUAAACAAGAUAGAAGACAUACAAAUAAUAGAUGACAGCAGCUGGAGGAGGUAGAAUAACCGUUUCUGUGAGUUAGAAGUAAAAUAGCAGUUUCAAAUUAUAUUAUCAUCAUCCAUCACAGCUAUCAUGUAUUCAACUCUUCCCGUGGUGCAAGUUACUAAGCUCUUUAAAUGUUACCCCAAUCAACCCAUUUUCCAUAGGAAGAGGAUGAAAUAGUUUAAAUCACUUUCCCAGGCUAUAUUAAUAGUUUGUGAUGAAGAUAUGACAAGAAUGGUCUCUCUGAAGCUAAAGUUCGAUUAUACUAUUUUGCAUUCCAUGUAAUAUGAUGACCAUGUUCCCAAGUCAUUACAUUUUCUUCACAAACAUGUUUUUAAAUAGCUUUAAAGUGUUCUAGUCUAUGGCUGUUUCAUAAUUGAUUUACUCUCUUCUGUCUUGUUAAAUAUUUAUGUUGUUUCUAGUCCCUUAGAUAUUUUGAAUUAUUUGCAAUAAAAAUCUUCAUGUGUAAAUCUUAGUAUGCAUAGCUGAUGAGUUUCAUAGUAUAAAUUCCAAGCAGCGAAGUCACUGGGCUAACGGAUUUGAACAUUUCUAAUUACCAAAUUGUACAAAUUGCCAAAUCACCCACAGGAAUAGUAUAGGAAUUUUCUCUCAUUUCAGAAAUUUUUGAGCUUGCUCAUUUAACUGCAUCCUUGCCAAUCCUGAAUCUGAUCUAAAAGUUUUCUUAUCAACAUGCCAGAUACACAAAUCUCCUAUAGAUUUAAUUUGUAUUUUUAUUUCCACUGUGGUACUUAGGGAAAAGAUAUCACCUAUGGAAAACAAAGCAUGUGAAUAAUACUUUGACAUUCAUAUCUGUCUCUGUCAGCCUCCUCCUUGCAUGCAAAUUUUGGUUUUCCCUUAACAGAAUGUUACAAAACUCCAAGCCCAAGUUUAAUUGUAACACUAUUUGGGAAGUUUCCUUGUUUAAGAAAAGUUUCUUAUCUUCCCUCAUCUCUGCACAUGCCAUUUUGUGAUAAUUUACUUCAUUGUGGUAAAAUUACUGAUUGUCUCUCUCUGGUCUCUCCUAAGUAAUAAGCUACUGGAAAACAAAUAAUCUUAUGAUUUGUUGGAUCUGUAGGAUCCAACCAAAGUAGUGAAAAGUCUCAUAAGCACAUUUAACUAUCACUUCCCACAAAAACAUACUGAUUCUAGAUUUUAAUCAAUUUUUCGCUGUUUGAUUAAACUAUGCAUUAAUUCAUCAUUAAUAAUGUAGUUGAUUAGGUACUUCGGAACACUUUAAAAACAUGAAUAAAAACAUCUAGUGGAAUUACUUUGUUCUAAAAGAGCUAAAUCUUGAGAAAAUGAAAAUUAAGUUUUGCUGGGAAUCACAAUGCAACGUUCCUUCCUACUAAUACAAAAACAUUCCUGCAGACCAUCUGAAGCAGAGAAAAAAAAUGGCUUCCAGUGGGACACUGUCAAGACCACAUAUAGCAUCCUUAUUCAUACAUAACGGUUCAGUGUUUCUGCCAUGGUUAUACCACAUGGUUAUACCACAGCUGAAAAAUGAGUAACAUCUCCUUUUUGUAUAAUUUCUGCUUUUUUCCAAUGCCAAACCAAUUCAUCAUGUCUCCUCAAUUAAGUUACUGGAUAUUAAGGUGCCCACCUGCUAAGCUGCUCUGCCUCACGAGUACCUAAUCUGGAGUUGGCUUCUCCUUUCCAAGACCCUUCUAAGAAUCAUUCAGCAUAAGCCCAAACCUACACAAAGUCCCUUCACAAACUUUCCUACUGAGAUCCUUCUAAAUUCUCUUACUGGGAUAUGGUUUUCCUUGCUGCAGCAAGCUAAACAAACCAAACUUUGACUACAGGUGUGUUCCUGGACAUCUGGUAGGCUUAGGUGUUAAUUGGGUCAUUAAACACAUAUAGAUCUACAUACUGUUUUUACUUAAACAGCAUUCAUCAACAAAUUGGAGAUAUGAUACAGGGAAAGUGAUAAGUUGAGAUUAUGCUAAAGUGUUAAUCCUGGAAACCUUAUCUAUUAUACUUUUUAAUUUUACUCACUGAAUUCUUUAGUUCCAGAAUUUAAAGGUUUUAAAAAUCAUAUCUAUCUUUGUUGAAUUUCUUGUUCAGAUCAUGAGUUGUUUUUCUGAAUUAUUUCUGUUGUUUAUCUGUAUUCUAUUGUAUCUCACUGAGCUUUUUUAUGAUCACCAUUUUACAUUUUUUUAGGCAUUUCAUAGGUUUCUCUUUCAUUGGAAUCUGUUCCUUCAGAGAUGUUAUGUUAGCUUGCUUUUUCAUGUUUCUUGUGUCCUUACUUUGAUAUCUGCAUAUCUGAUGUAAGUCACUUCUCCCAAUUUUCUGGACUGGCUUUUAUACGGAAAGACUUCUUACUAUAGAUGUAUCCAUAGUGCUGAUUGUGUAGGGUGCUUUAGCUUUGAUUUUUGGAUGGGCAUGGUAGUAUAGUCUCAGUAUGAUUUCUUCAGCUGUAAUAUACAUCAAUAGUUUCUAUGAUUUCCUCAGUUCCUUAGGCUGUAGUUGUUAGUGGAGGUGGUGGCGAGGCUUGGCUAUGUAUAGGUACUUUAGAUCAGCUGGUCAUUGGGCACUAGUGGCAACAGCAGUGGGCUGGGUGUGUAAACACUUGAGCCCUCAGAUGGCAUACAUGUGCAGUGACGUUAGUGGGUCCAGGUAGGCCAAUCCUCUUGCCUCCAGGCAACUUUCUUGGUGCCAGCAGUGACAGCAAUGGGCCAAAUAAGUGGAUAGGUCCUCAGGCCCCUGGGCAGUGUGCAUGACGUCAUUUAUAUCAGUAGCAUCAAUAAGCCAAACUUCAGGCCCCUAGGCAACAACACAGAGGUGCCAGCAGUGGGUUGGGCAGGCCAGACCUCAGGCCUCCAGGUAGCAUAUGUGGUAGGGGCCAAUGGUAUAGGUGUGUGAGGCUGGCUGAGAAGGCAUGCAUAGGUGCCAGUGGCAACAGGCCAUGUGGGUCAAUUCCUAGGCCCCCAUCAAUGCACACAGGCACUGGUAAGGGAGCACCUGGUGGGGAAGGGCUGUCCUCCAGACCCCCGAGUGUGAACAUGGGCACAGGCUACCGUGAGUGAGGCCAGUUUAUCCCCAGGAUCUCAGAUGACACGCUUGGGCACUGGCAGGCUAAGCUGACCCAUCUCCAGGCCCCCUGAAGGUGUGCACAGGUGUAGGUGGCAAUGAGUGAGGUGGGUCAAUCCCCAGGUCCCUGGGUGAUGUGCAUGAGUGCUGGUGUCAGUGAUGAGUGGGCAGGUCUUUCUUCAGGUCCUCUAAUGGUACAUGUGAGUGCCAGAUGUGGUGGGUGAGACAAGUCCAUCCCCAUACCCCCAAAUGACAUGCUCAAGCAGUGGUAGUUACAGUGGUAGGCAGGAGUGGCUUGUCCUCAGCUUCCAGAAUGGUACCCAAGAGGACCAUUCUCCAGAUUGCCAGAAGGCACAUUCAGGUGCAAAGAGCCCCUACUGCUCUUUGGUAGGGAGAUUUUGCUCUCAGUGUCAGCAGCGCCAGGCAAACAGAAGCUCUAGUGGGGAUACACUUUGGUUCUCUUUGUCCUAGGGGCAGCUUUCCCAGUGUGCUGCAUUGCCUAUACCUUGGGGUGUAGGAUACUGUGUGGGCUAGAGUGCCGGGGACCUGGCUGCACCACUGGGUCUAGGUGACAUUGUGAUGCUGCAGCCCUUUGGGUAGACACAGGGGAAUGUAAGCAAAGCUCAGGGAUGUGCAGGCGCAGGGGCUGUUGUGCCCCAGGGUAGGAUAUAAUCUGGUGGGCUGGCCUCUCAAAAUGGAGCUGUGCUAUAGCUACUUGGGACUCAGCGUGUGGGUGGGACCCAGUGCAAACUACCUCUCUGGAAUAAUGCCAUCAUGUGGACUCCCAGCAGCUUCCUUUACUAGUCUCAGGGUCCACAAGCAUCAAGGGACUCUUCCGUGGCUGCGAUGGCAGGAGUCAAUGGAGGGAAUGUGGACUGCUGGGUAUACUUCAUUUACCUUUUCCCCGCAGUGCAGUUUCUCCUGGCUCCAAGUGACCCUGACCAGGAUGGCCGCUUUAUUUCCUUCAUUUUCCAUGUCUCAGAGGCUCCCUGUCACUUCUCGGCUAAAUUUCAGUGUUCUCUCUCAGAGGCUCUAUUCAAAGUGUGGUUGUCUACUUACUGUUUUGGUCCUUUGUGGAAGAAAUAAAUGCCGGGUGCCAUCUAGUCACCUCUCCUGAAACUCACAUUUUGAUAGAAUAAUCUAUUAUUCUAUUAGUUUAAUGAGUGAGCACUCACUGUCACACAUUUAUUUCUCACAGAUGUUUCAGUCUGGUUAGCAUAGUUGCAGUUGUUCAGACUUAAACUUACAUAAAAUUUUUAAAAAUCACUUCUCAUUCAAAAGCAUUUUAUAUUGGAAAGUGUAAUUUUCGUUGCCAAGAAUAGGAACCCGCCUAAAACUUUUAAAUACUAUCUUAACCUUAGUUAUGAAGAUGUCUAUUCCAUCAAAGGAUAAGAAGGAUUAGCACAUUCAUUCAUAUUUCUAUUGGAAAAAAAGAAGUAAUUAAUUUAUUGCUUCUCUGUCCAAGUAAUUAAGCAAUAACUUAUUCUGGCAUCCUUGUCAACUGAUAGCAAUUGAGUUUGUUUCCAAACCACAAAUAUAAAUAUAAACCAAAUCUAUUUUAGCUUUUUGAGAGAUUAAACCAAUGUUAUUUAAACUUUAUUUCUUAAUGAAACCAUCAAAGGAACAGCUUUAAAAAAAACUAAUUUUUUUCAAUAGCAAAGACUUGGAACCAACCCAAAUGUCCAACAAUGAUAGACUGGAUUAAGAAAAUAUAGCACAUAUAAACCAUGGAAUACUAUGCAGCCAUAAAAAAGGGUGAGAUCAUGUCCUUUGUAGGGACAUGGAUGGAGCUAGAAACCAUCAUUCUCAGCAAACUACUGCAAGGACAAAAGAUGAAGAAAAACUAUGUGAUAUAUGUGACACCAUAAAAUGACUAAAUAUUCUCAUUCUGGGCAUCACAGAAGGAGAAGAGAUGGGUGAAGGCAAAGAGAAACUAUUUUAAAAAAUAACAGCUAACAGGUUCUUAAGUUUGGAAGAGAUACACACAUCCAGACACAAGAAACUCAAAAAUCCCCAAAUAGAUUCAACCCAAAAAGGUCUUAUCUAGGCCAGGUGUGGUGGCUCAUGCCUGUAAUUCCAGCACUUCGAGAGGCUGAGACAGGCAGAUCACGAGAUUAGGAGAUUGAGACCAUCCUGGCUAACACAGUGAAACCCCGUCUCUACUCAAAAUACAAAAAAUUAGCCCGGUGUGGUGGUGGGUGCCUGUAGUCCCAGCUACUCAGGAGGCUGAGGCAGGAGAAUGACGUGAACCUGGGGGGCGGAGCUUGCAGUGAGUGGAGAUCACACCGCCACACUCCAGCCUGGGAGACAGAGCGAGACUCCAUCUCAAAAAACAAACAGACAAACAAACAAACAAAAAAACAACAAGAAAAGGCCUUAUGUAAGGCACAUUGUAGUUAAACUGUCAAAGUGACCUCUGGUCGUCCUCACUGCUACACUCCCACCAGUGCCAUGACAGUUUACAAAUGCCAUGGCAAUGUCAGGAAGUUACCCUAUACGGUCUAAAAAGGGGAGGCAUGAAUAAUCCACCCCUUGUUUAGUGUAACAUCAAGAAAUAAUAUGCCCAUAGAAAUGGGCAACCAGCAGCCUUUGGGGGUUGCUCUGUCUAUGGAGUACCCAUUAUUUUAUUCCUUUACUUUCUUAAUAAACUUGCUUUCACUUUGAAAAAAUAAUCAAAGACAAAGAAUUCUAGAAACAGCAAGGGAAAAGCAUCAAGUCACAUGUAAAAGAACCUCCAACAGACUAAUAGCAGAUUAAUAGCAGAAACCUUACAGGCCAGGAGAGAAUGGGAUAAUAAAUUCAAAGCGCUGAAAGAAGAAAAAAAAACUUAUUAAUUAAGAAUAGUAUACUUAGGAAAUCUAACCUUGAAAAAUUAAAAGUGAGUCUUUCCCAGACAAGCAAAAACUGAGAGAAUUCAUUACAAUUAGACCAAUCCUAAAAGAAAUAUUUAAGAGAUUUUUUUUUUUUUUUACAUCAGGAAGUGUAAGGAAAAUUAUCUGCCAUCAUAAAAAUAUAAAAUAAAAUAAAAUUCACUUGCAGAGCAAACAAAUUAGUAAGAUUAAGGAAUCAAAGGUUACCAAAUGUUAUAUAAAAUCAAUGAACUGCAAUGAAAAACAAUAAGAGAGGAAAAAAGGAACAAAAGGUAUACAAAAUAACCAGAAAGCAAUUAACAAAAGGAUAGGAAUAAGUCGUCACCUACCAAGAAUAGUCUUGAAUAUAAACAGACUAAAUUCCCUACUUAAAAGAUAUAGAUUAGCUGAAAGGAUUUUUUUUUUAAGCAACAAUAUGCUGCCUACAAGAAACUCACCUCACUGGUAGACACAUAUAGACUGAAAGUGAAGAAAUGGAGAAAGAUACUCUGUGCAAACGGAAACCAAAAACAAGCAGGAGUAUACUGGCAUCAGAUAAAACAAACUUUAACUCAAAAACAGUAAAAAGAGACAAAGAAGUUCAUUAUAUAAUAAUAAAGAGAUCAAUUCAUCAAGAGGAUAUAACAAUUGUAAAUAUGUAUGUACCCAAUACCAAAGCAGCCAGAUUUAUAAAACAAAUACUACUGGAUAUAAAGAGAGAAGUAGAGUCCAAUUUCAAUUUUAGUUGGGUACUUCAAUACUCCACUCUCAGCACUAGACAGAAAAUCAACAAAGAAACAUUGGAUUUAAACUGCACAUUACACCAAAUGGAUCUAACAUUUACAGAACAUUUCCUCCAGCAGCUGCAGAAUACACAUUCUUCUCAUUAGCAUAGGAAACAUUCUUUAGGAUAAACCAUAUGUUAGGACACAAAAUAAGUCUCAAUUUAAAAAAAAUCUAAAUCCUAUAAAGUAUUUUUUCAGACCACAUUAGAAAACAAAGGACACUUGAAAACUCUAUAAAUAAAUGAAAAUUAAACAUAUUCCUGAAUGACUAUUGUGUCAAAAAAGAAAUUUUUAAAUAUCAAAAAAAUUAUUGAAACAAAUGAAAAUGGAAAUAUAACAUACUAAAACCUAUGUAAUACAGCAAAAGCAGUAAGAGGGAAGUUUAUCACAGUAAAUGGCUAUAUCAAAGAAGGAGAUUUCAAAUAAACAAUCUUGUAACAAUGUAGCUCAAGGUACUAGAAAAAUAAGAGCAAACGAAACUCAAAAUUAGGAAAAGGAAAUAAAUAAUACAAAUUAGAGCAGAACUAAACAAAAUAAAGACUUAAAAAACACACACAAAGAUAAUGAAAUGAAAAGUUGAUUUUCAGAAAAGAUAAAUAAACUUAAUGCACUGCUAGCUCAACUAACCAAUACCACAAAAGACCCAAAUCAAUAAAAUCAAAAUUUAAAAAAGAGUCAUUACAACUGAUAUCACAGAAAUACGAAGAAUCAUUAGAGGAUAUGAUGAACAAGUACAUGCUAACAAAUUGGAAAACUUAGAGCAAACGGAUAAAUUCCUGGACUCACACAACCUACCACAAUUGGAGCAGGAAUGAACAAACCAAUAUCAAGAAGCAAGAUUGAACUGGUAAUAAAAAGUCUUCCAAAAAAGAAAAUUCUAGGACUAAACAGCUUUACUGCUGACCUCUACCAAACUGUUAAAUAAGAACUAACAAAAACUCUUCUCAAUCUAUUCCAAAAAUUGAAGAGAAGGGAAUUCUUUCUAACUCAUUUUAUGAGGCCAGCAGUACCCUGAUAUCAAAACCAGACAAAGGCACAACAACAACUACAACAACCAAAUUCUGCACAUCAAUAUCCUUAAUGAACAUAGACACAAAAAUCUUCAGCAAAAUACUAGCAAACUGAAUUCAGCCACACUUCAAAAAGAUAAUACACCAGGAUCAAGUGAUAUUUAUCCCAGGGUUGCAAGAUUUGUUCAACAUACACAAAUCAAGAAACAUGAUACAUUACAUUAACAGAAUGAAGAACAAAGCCAUAUGAUUACCUCAACAGAUGCAGAAAAAUUCAACAUUCCUUCAUGAUAAAAUGUCUCAACAAAUUAGGCAUAUAAGAAACAUAUCUCAACAUAAUAAAGGUCAUAUAUGACUAACUCACAGCUAAUAUGCUGAAUGGGGAAAAGCUGGAAGCCUUUCCUCUAAGAACUGGAAUAAGAAAAGGAUGCCCACACUUACCACUCUUACUCAGCGUGGUACUAGAAGUCCUAGCCAGAGUAAGACAAAGAAAAGGCAUUCAGAUUGGAAAAGAACUCAAAUUGUCCUUCUUUGCGGAUGACAUAAUAUUACAUAUUAAAAACAAAAUCUAAAUAUUCCACCCAAAUCUCUUAGAACUGACAAAUGAAUUCAGCUAACUUGCAGGAUACAAAAUCAACAUACAGAAAUCAAUAGCUUUUCUAUAUAUCAAUAAUGAACUAGCCAAAACAGAUAUAAAUACCACAAUUUCAUUUACAAGAGCUGCAAAAAAGCAUAAUUCCUAUGAAUAAAUUUAAUCAGGAGGUAAAAGACCUCUACAAGGAAAGCAGCAAAACAUUCAUGAAAGAAAUUAAAGAGGACACUAACAAAUGGAAAGACAUCUUAUGCUCAUGGAUUGGUAGAAUUACUAUUUUUAAGAAAGACCAUAGUACCAAAGGUAUUCUCUAUACUCGAUGCAAUCUUUUUCAAAAUACCAAUGUUUUUUACAGAAAUAAAAAAAAAAAAAAAACCUAAAAUUUGGCCAGGUGCUGUAGUUCACCCCUGUAAUGUCAGUACUUUUGGAGGCCAAGUUGAGUGGAUCACUUGAGGCCAGAUGUUCAAGCCAAGCCGAGCCAACAUGAUGAAACUAUGUCUCUACUAAAAAUACAAAAAUUAGCCAGGCAUGAUGGCAGGCACCUGUAAUCUCAGCUACUCAGGAGGCUGAGGUGGGAGAAUUGCUUGAACCUAGGAGGCAGAGGCUGCAGUGAAUCGAGAUUGUGCACUGCACUCCAGCCUGGGCAACAAAGCAAGACUCCAUCUCAAAGAAAAAAAAAAAUAAAAAAGAAAAAAUCCUAAAAUUCAAAUAGAACCACAAAAGACCCCAAAUAGUCAAAGCAAUCCUGAGUGAAAAGAACAAAGCUGGAGGCAUUAUACUACCUGACUUCAAAAUAUACUAUAAAACUAUAGUAACUAAAACAGUACAGUAUGGUGUUGAUAUAAAAACAGACACAUAAACUAACGGAACAAAAGAGAGAACCCAGAAAUAAAUCCACAUAUUUAUAGCCAACUGAUUUUCAACAAAGGCACUAAGAAUGCCUGUUGGGGAUAGGAUACCCUGUUCAAUAAACAGUACUGGGAAAGCUGGAUGUCCAUAGGCAGAAGAUCCCUAUCUCUCAGCAUAUUCAAAAGGCAACUCAAAUUUAAAUACUUAAAUGUAAGACUCAAUACUACAAAAUUAGAAAAAAACAUAGGGGAAAUGCUGCAGGACAUUGGUCUAGGCAAAGGUAUUAUGGCCUAGACUUCAAAAGCACAAGCAACAAAAACAAAAAUAGACAAAUGAGAUUAUACUAAACUAAAAAGCUUUUGCACAACAAGAGAAACAAUCAAGAGUAAAGAGACAACCUGUGGAAUGGGAGAAAAUGUUUGCAAAUUAUUCAUCUGACAAAAGGCAAAUGUUCAGAAUACAAGCUGGGAGCUCCUUAGGGCAAACCUGCCUCCCAUUCUAUUCCUAAAAAUGAAGGAAUAGAAGCUGUGAAGAUAAAAAUGUUACAUACCUCCCUCACAAGGAAUUUCCUUGUGGACAAAGGACAGACAGAACUCAAAGUUAUCCUUCUGCUCACUGAGAUAAAUGCAUAUCUGAUUGCCUCCUUUGGAAAGGCUUAUCAGAAACUCAAAAGAAUGCAACCUUUUGUCCUUAUCUACCUAUUGCCUGGAAGCCCCUUCCCUGUUUUAAGUUGUCCCGCCUUUCAGGACAGAACCAAUGUACAUCUCACAUAUAUUGAUUGAUGUCUCAUGUCUCCCUAAAAUGUAUAAAACCAAGCUGUGCCUUGACCACUUUGGGCACACAUCAUCAGGACUUCCUGAGGCUGUGUCACAGAUGGGUAUCCUUAGCUUUGGCAAAAUAAACUUCCUAAAUUGACUGAGACCUGCCUUAGAUAUUUGGGGUUAAUACAAGGAACUCAAACCACUCAGCAGCAAAAAAAAAAAAAAAAAAAAAAAAAAAGCAGAUAAUCCCAUUAAAAAGUGGGCAAAGAAUGUGAAUAGACAUUUCUCAAAAGAAGACAUACAAAUGGCCCACAGGUACCUGAAAAAACGUUCAACAUCACUAUACACUACAGAAAUACAAAUUAAAACCACAAUGAGAUAGCAUCUUAUCCUAGUUAGAAUGGCUAUUAUUAAAAAGACCAAAAAAAUAACAAAUUCUGACAAGGAUGUAGAUUAAAGGGAACUCUUAUACACUGUCAGUGGAAACACAAAUUAACACAGCCAUUAUGGAAAACAGUGUGGAGUUUUCUCAAAAAACUAAAAAUAGAAUAAGGGAAAUCUAUUGUUCAAUAGUGUAGCAGGGUAACUAUUGUUAACAACAAUGUAUUAUAUAUUUUUAAAUAGCUAUAAGAAAAGAUUCGAAAUAUUUUCAACACAAAUAAAUGUUAGAGGUGAUAGAUAUCCUAAAUACCCUGAUUGGACCAUUGCACAAUUACGCACGUAUCAAAAUAGCACAUGUAUCCCAUAAGUAUGUAUAAUUAUUAUAUAUCAAUAAGAAUUAAAAUGAAAUAUUCGCACCUCAUUAUAUUCUCGCACCUCAUUAUACCCACUUAAGGAACUGUCCUCUUUAAGCUCCCCUUUGAAAAUAAAGCAUAGUAAAGGAAGGAUCCAUUACACAACCUUUAGAAUCCUAAGUGUGAAAUAUUAAGUGAUAUUAGUUUACUGAAAAUCCUUAUGUCUUUGUUCUAAUAGGCAUUUGUAGAAACGUGAAUGAGCUUCAGAGUAUUUAAAAGGAACAGGAAAAUAUAGAUACUAAAGGUCAUUAUUUUUGAGUCUGUCUUCAUCUCUAAGCACUAUUCACAGAUAUUUAAAGUUCUGAAAGUUUUCUUUUUCCCUCUCUCUCUCUCUCACUCUUGAAUGUGUUUUUCGAGCUUUGACUAUAAACGUAAAAAGAAAGAAUAGCAGCUUUUAUGUAUUUAAAUACAGUCCAAGGUAGUCACUCACCUCCUGGUUCUAAUUUCAUAUGAUGAUCUGGGCUUAGAUCACUCUUCAACCUUUAGAUAAGUUUUUAAAAACAGAGGCAAAAUGAACACAUUUUAGAUAAACCUAUGCAGUUUUAACUUUUGAGAAGAGGAGGGAAAGGAACUUAACUACUUAGUGAACCUGUGGUAAGACAAAUUGUCAUCCUUGUUGAUCUCCAUUACGAAAAAGUCAAUUGCAAAUGGUUUUGUAUUUCCUAGUUGUACAAAAAUCUGGGUCUGUGUUUCUACAUGUUUUUCAACUAAUAAAAAGCUUGUAAAAUUAGAAAUGUUCAUGACAUGCUAUUUCAAAUUUAUAACUCUGGGAAAAUACAGGUGUUUCCAGAAAUGAUUUUGAAGUGAUCUUUUAUGAUUAUAUACAAAUGACUUGGUAUAAUUAUCUCCUUUUGAUUAUAGUAAUAAAUGAAGAAUAGGAAAAGAUAGGAAAGAUAAAAAGUCGAAUCACAGAUGGAAAAUGGACAAUAAAGUAUCAAAAAGUUCAUUACAGAAAGAAGAGAAAGUAGGAAUAAAUUGGAAAAGAAAAUAGAAGAGAUAUUAAGAAAUAAUGCCUUUAUUUUUGGCAAUACAGCAUAUUAGAUUUGCUGAAAAGCUUUUUUUGUGAAAACAAUAAAAA